GUCGCAAGACCAAAGUGGGGGACCUUCGGGCCUCAUGCCAUCAGAUGUGCCCAGAUGGGAUUAGCUAGUAGGUGGGGUAACGGCUCACCUAGGCGACGAUCCCUAGCUGGUCUGAGAGGAUGACCAGCCACACUGGAACUGAGACACGGUCCAGACUCCUACGGGAGGCAGCAGUGGGGAAUAUUGCACAAUGGGCGCAAGCCUGAUGCAGCCAUGCCGCGUGUGUGAAGAAGGCCUUCGGGUUGUAAAGCACUUUCAGCGGGGAGGAAGGCGUUAAGGUUAAUAACCUUGGCGAUUGACGUUACCCGCAGAAGAAGCACCGGCUAACUCCGUGCCAGCAGCCGCGGUAAUACGGAGGGUGCAAGCGUUAAUCGGAAUUACUGGGCGUAAAGCGCACGCAGGCGGUCUGUCAAGUCGGAUGUGAAAUCCCCGGGCUCAACCUGGGAACUGCAUUCGAAACUGGCAGGCUAGAGUCUUGUAGAGGGGGGUAGAAUUCCAGGUGUAGCGGUGAAAUGCGUAGAGAUCUGGAGGAAUACCGGUGGCGAAGGCGGCCCCCUGGACAAAGACUGACGCUCAGGUGCGAAAGCGUGGGGAGCAAACAGGAUUAGAUACCCUGGUAGUCCACGCCGUAAACGAUGUCGAUUUGGAGGUUGUGCCCUUGAGGCGUGGCUUCCGGAGCUAACGCGUUAAAUCGACCGCCUGGGGAGUACGGCCGCAAGGUUAAAACUCAAAUGAAUUGACGGGGGCCCGCACAAGCGGUGGAGCAUGUGGUUUAAUUCGAUGCAACGCGAAGAACCUUACCUGGUCUUGACAUCCACAGAACUUUCCAGAGAUGGAUUGGUGCCUUCGGGAACUGUGAGACAGGUGCUGCAUGGCUGUCGUCAGCUCGUGUUGUGAAAUGUUGGGUUAAGUCCCGCAACGAGCGCAACCCUUAUCCUUUGUUGCCAGCGGU
rnacentral:rRNA from 2 species